rnacentral:rRNA from 1 species
CCCUUAGAUGUUCUGGGCUGCACGCGCGCUACACUGAUGCACUCAGCGAGUUUACGACCUUGCCCGAUAGGGUUGGGUAAUCUUUUUAAAAUGCAUCGUGAUGGGGAUAGAUUAUUGCAAUUAUUAAUCUUCAACGAGGAAUUCCUAGUAAGCGCGAGUCAUCAGCUCGUGCUGAUUACGUCCCUGCCCUUUGUACACACCGCCCGUCGCUCCUACCGAUUGAGUGCUCAGGUGAAUAAUUCGGACUGCAGCAAUGUUUGGAUCCCGAACGUUGCAGCGGAAAGUUUAGUGAACCUUAUCACUUAGAGGAAGGAGAAGUCGUAACA